GUGAGGAAUUUUCCGCAAUGGGCGAAAGCCUGACGGAGCAAUGCCGCGUGAAGGAUGAAGGCCUAUGGGUUGUAAACUUCUUUUCUCAGAAAAGAAUUAUGACGGUAUCUGAGGAAUAAGCAUCGGCUAACUCUGUGCCAGCAGCCGCGGUAAGACAGAGGAUGCAAGCGUUAUCCGGAAUGAUUGGGCGUAAAGCGUCUGUAGGUUGUUUAAAAAGUAUUCUGUCAAAGAUUAGGGCUUAACCCUAGAUAGGCAGAAUAAACUUUUAAGCUAGAGUUUGGUAGAGGCAGAGGGAAUUCCCGGUGGAGCGGUGAAAUGCGUAGAUAUCGGGAGGAUCACCAAAGGCGAAGGCACUCUGCUGGGCCAAUACUAACACUGAGAGACGAAAGCGAGGGGAGCAAAUGGGAUUAGAAACCCUAGUAGUCC
rnacentral:rRNA from 1 species